UACAGAGGUCUCGAGCGUUAGGCGGAAUUACUGGGCGUAAAGCGUGCGCAGGCGGUCUGUUAAGACCGAUGUGAAAUCCCCGGGCUUAACCUGGGAACUGCAUUGGUGACUGGCAGGCUUUGAGUGUGGCAGAGGGAGGUAGAAUUCCACGUGUAGCAGUGAAAUGCGUAGAGAUGUGGAGGAAUACCGAUGGCGAAGGCAGCCUCCUGGGCCAACACUGACGCUCAUGCACGAAAGCGUGGGGAGCAAACAGG
rnacentral:rRNA from 1 species